rnacentral:lncRNA from 1 species
UGUUUCCUCCAACAUCUUCACAAGGUCCUUUGCUGUUGUUCUGGGAUUGAUUUGCACUUUUUGCACCAAAGUACACAAACAUGCUUACACACAGAUGUCCUCAUCCAUAUAUAGUGCUUUAAAAUGACUGUUGUAAUUAUAAACCCAUUGGUUCUCUUACUCCGUGACCUCUGACCUCUGAUCUGAUAUGACUUCCUGUCCCUGUUUGACCUCCACAGGACAUGUUUUCUGAAUUGGAUCUGGAAGGAGAUGCAGAGAGCGAGCUACGGCAGACACAGCCAAGGGGAAGAAGAGAAAGGCCCAAGAGGAGCUGGGGACGGCCCAGCUGGAGGAGGAAGACGCGGGGACAUCAAAGGAAGCUGGGGAAGAGGGGGAUAGCGACUCGGAUGAUGUUGACGACAGCAGCGACUCGGAUGACGAGAGGAGCUUCGCUCAGAUGUAGAAGGCUAAAGGGUCCGGCGGUAUUCAAGGUGAUGCCAACGGUGAUGACUUCCAGGUGGUGCCAGUGCAGAGCACCACGUGUUUGCGUCAUGAAUUCAGAUGGUAUGGCCCUGGGCUGUCAGAUCACCACGUCCAAGAAGCGAGAGAGGGACCUGGUAGAUGGCUCCUUUCACAGGCAAGAUUAGAUGAUUACUGUGUGUGUGUGUUCACUAAUGACGCUUGCAGGCACACUAUAUGAAUGAACAAUAGUAAUUUUAUUUAGCCAUGCCUUGUAUUAUUUCUGCUUUCAAGUGUGACGGUGUGUGUGUUCAGGUUUGUGAGUUCGGAGGACCAGUGCGAGGUGCUUGAGUGGUUCAGCUCAAGAGGUACGACCACCAUUUUAAAGAGCUCAAGAGCUAAAGAGCUUAAAAGACCUCAAGAGGUACUCCAUUUUAAAGAGCUCAAGAGGUACGACCACCACCAUAAAAACCACAUGUACCAUAAACAUGUUACACUCCUACACCUGUGGCAACGACAUGUACCAUCACCAACUUUUACUUUACUAUACCUGUGGCAGCCAGCUACAUCUCCUCUGGCAGUGGCAUGUACCACCACCAUUUUACAUUAGCAAGUGAAGUUCAUCCUCUCUCUCUCUUUUAGUAUCUAUAAGGCGGCGGGCGUGGGUAAAGGGAAAAGAGAGGUCAAGUACGUUGUGGCCAAGAAGGGCUCCGGAACCAAGCGGGUGCGUCGGCUGUGCGGCGUCAAGGGGAAGUUCAAAGUGGUGGACGGCCGCAUGCAGAGGAAAGAUCAACGCGAGAGAGGGGGCAAAAAGUAAGCAUUUCACUGUAAGGUGACCUGUUAUAUUCGGCGCAUGUGACAAAUAACAUUUGAUUUGAUUAGAAAAACGGAGGGAAAGGGAAAGGAGGCAAGGAAAAGACAGAGCAGGAGGAGGUGGAUUUAAGGGUGGAAGGGGAGGAUGAAUGGGGGGAAAGGACGUCCUGGCAGGAAAUGAGAAAAGAACACAGCUCUGUUCCCUCCUUUGUUUUUUGGGUGGGUUAAAUGGGUUACACCAUUAUCGUCUCAUGAUGGGUCAACGUCACUAUCUUCGGCCUGCUUGAUGAGUGGAGUUCUCACUUUUAGUUCAAUGGAAGGACAAAUCAAAGUGUCAGGGUUUCGGUGUGGUCAUACUGAUGAUUUGUUUCCACAGAUGGUUUGUUUACAUAGCUGGUUAGAAUAACUAACGUGGCAGGUUAGGAGAACUAAUGCAGCAGGUUAGGUGAAUUAACGUAGCAGGUUAGGAGAAAACGGUUUUUGAAAUGGUAUAAAUCUGAAAAAAUGUCUAAAAACCUGUUUUUACUUUGUCAUUUUGGGGUGUAGCUUGAUGAGGGACAUUUAAAAAAAAAAAAAUUUAGAAUAAGGCUGUAAUGUAACACAGUGUGGAAAAAGUAAAGGGGUCUGAACACUUUCCAAAUGCACUGUACAUAAGUAUUCAGACCCUUUACUCAGUACUUUGUUGAAGCACCUUUGGCAGCGAAAUACAGCCUCAAGUCUUCUUGGGUAUGACGCUACAAGCUUGGCACACCUGUGUUUAGGAAGUUUCUCCCAGUCUUCUCAGCAGAUCCUCUCAAGCUCUGUCAGGUUGGAUGAGGAGCGUCGCUACACAACUAUUUUCAGGUCCCUCCAGAGAUGUUCGAUCAGGUUGAAGUCCGGGCUCUGGCUGGGCAACUCAAGGGCAUUCAAAGACUUGUCCUGAAGCCACUCCUGCAUUGUUUUGGCUGUGUGCCUAGUUUCGUUGUCCUGUUGGAAGGUGAACCUUCACCCCAGUCUGAGAACCUGCUCCAGAGCACUCAGGACCCCAUUAAGGAUCACUCUGUACUUUGCUCUGUUCAUCUUUCCCUCGAUACUGACUAGUUUACCAUGCCCUGCCGGUGAAAAACAUCCCCACAGCAUGAUUCUGCCAAUGCCAUGCUUCACCGUAGGGAUGGUGCCAGGUUUCCUCCAGGGCGUGGUGCUUGGCAUAUAGGCCAAAGAGUUCAGUGUUGAUUUCAUCAGACCAGAAUCUUGUUUGAGAGUCCUUUAGGCGCUUUUUGGCAAACUCCAAGUGGGCUGUCAUGUGCUUUACAGAGGAGUCUGGCCACUCCUCUAUAAAGGCCUGAUUGGUGCAGAGCUGCAGAGAUGGUUGUCCUUCUGGAAGGUUCUCCCAUCUCCACAGAAGAACUCUUUGAGCUCUGUCAGAGUGACCAUCGGGUCCUUGGUCACCUCCCUGAUCAAGGCCCUUCUCCCCCAGUUGCUCAGUUUGUCUCGGGCGGCCAGCUCUAGGAAGAGUCUUCCAAACUUCUUCCAUUUAAGAAUGAUGGAGGCGGCUGUUCUUGGCGACCUUCAAUGCUGCAGAAAUGUUUUGGUACCCUUCCCCAGAUCUGUGCCUCAACACAAUCCUGUCUCAGAGCUCUACGGACAAUUCCUUUGACCUCAUGGCUUAGUUUUUUCUCGGACUUGCACUGUCAAAUGUGGGACCUUAUAUAGACAGGUGUGUGCCUUUCCAAAUCAUGUCGAAUCAAUUGAAUUUACCACAGGUGGACUCCAAUCAAGUUGUAGAAACAUCUCAAGGAUGAUCAAUAGAAACAGGAUGCACCUGAGAUCAAUUUCGAGUCUCAUAGCAAAGGGUCUGAAUACUUAUGUAAAUAAGGUAUCUGUUUUUAAAACAUGUUUUUUGCUUUGUCAUGAGGGAAAACAUUUAUUUAAUACAUUUUAGAAUAAGGCUGUAACCUAACAACAUUAUGAAAAAGUUGAGGGUCUUAAUACUUU